rnacentral:rRNA from 1 species
UACGUAGGGUGCAAGCGUUAAUCGGAAUUACUGGGCGUAAAGCGUGCGCAGGCGGUUAUGUAAGACAGAUGUGAAAUCCCCCAGGCUCAACCUGGGAACUGCAUCCGAUACUGGAUGGCUUGAAUUCGGGAGAGGGAUGCAGAAUUCCAGGUGUAGCGGUGAAAUGCGUAGAUAUCUGGAGGAAUACCGGUGGCGAAGGCGGCAUCCUGGACCGACAUUGACGCUAAGGAGCGAAAGCCAGGGGAGCAAACGGG